rnacentral:tRNA from 1 species
GCUGGUGUAGCGCAGCUGGUCAGAGCAUUCGCCUGAUAUGCGAACGGUCGAAGGUUCGAGUCCUUCCACCAGCA